rnacentral:rRNA from 1 species
GACAGAGGAUGCAAGCGUUAUCCGGAAUGAUUGGGCGUAAAGCGUCUGUAGGUGGCUUUUUAAGUCUGCCGUCAAAUCCCAGGGCUUAACCCUGGACAGGCGGUGGAAACUACCAAGCUGGAGUACGGUAGGGGCAGGGGGAAUUUCCGGUGGAGCGGUGAAAUGCGUAGAGAUCGGAAAGAACACCAACGGCGAAAGCACUCCGCUGGGCCGACACUGACACUGAGAGACGAAAGCUAGGGGAGCGAAUGGG